UAACCGCUAUUGUGAGAUAGCGUUGAGCGUACAGAAGUCAGCAGAGGUCAUAGUAGCUGUGUUUUUUUCAGUGAAGGAC
rfam:Human gut metagenome DNA, contig sequence: F2-X_006171.